GUCAGGCAUGGUGGUGCAUGCCUGUAAUCCUUGCUACUCGGGAGGCUGAGGUGGGAGUAUCACUUGAGCCCAGGAGAUCGAGGCUGCAGUGAGCUGUGAUCGCACUACUGCACUCUAACCUGGGUGACAGAGUGAGACCCUGUCUCUA
rnacentral:sRNA from 1 species